CAUGGUCACCAUGACUCUACUCCUACAGAUCUCUACAUGUCUCUGAAUCUCUGCUUACAUUUACAGUGCAGUCUGAGACGUUCAAAGGAUCCAUUCUAGCAAAAGGAGUAC